CAUGCAAGUCGAACGGAAAGGCCCUUCGGGGUACUCGAGUGGCGAACGGGUGAGUAACACGUGGGUGAUCUGCCCUGCACUUUGGGAUAAGCCUGGGAAACUGGGUCUAAUACCGAAUACACCUCACUGGCUGCAUGGUUGGUGGGGGAAAGCUUUUGCGGUGUGGGAUGGGCCCGCGGCCUAUCAGCUUGUUGGUGAGGUUACGGCUCACCAAGGCGACGACGGGUAGCCGGCCUGAGAGGGUGACCGGCCACACUGGGACUGAGAUACGGCCCAGACUCCUACGGGAGGCAGCAGUGGGGAAUAUUGCACAAUGGGCGCAAGCCUGAUGCAGCGACGCCGCGUGGGGGAUGACGGCCUUCGGGUUGUAAACUCCUUUCAGCACAGACGAAGCGCAAGUGACGGUAUGUGCAGAAGAAGGACCGGCCAACUACGUGCCAGCAGCCGCGGUAAUACGUAGGGUCCGAGCGUUGUCCGGAAUUACUGGGCGUAAAGAGCUCGUAGGUGGUUUGUCGCGUUGUUCGUGAAAACUCACA
rnacentral:rRNA from 1 species